GCCAGUGUGUUAUAGUGGUUUGAAUGUAGGACUAUGACUCUGGAGACCAGGGUUCGAAUCACAGCUCAGCCA